CGGGGCCGGCGGGAGGAAGGCAGAGACACCGACACACAGCAUCCCGUCCUGCUGGCCUGCUCUUCAGUUGGCAUGGAUUUGAAAUUACUCCUUUCCUCCCGAUUGAAUUCUGUACCACAUGCUCUCCAGUCCUUCCUAAUGAGUUUAAUGAAAAGGAAUUUCUGAAUGACUGGGUUGAGAAUCUAGCACCUGACCCCACAGAAACCCUUGUCCCAAGUCACUCCUGUUUAUCAACACUGUUCACCAACCACCACCACAACCCUUCACAAAGGAAGAAUCCUCACUGGAUGUGAUGCGGUUCAUUUCAUACAUUUACUCAACAAAUGUGUACUAAGAAGCCCUUCAAGUGGAACAGCUCUAGAUGAGCAAGUUGGUAGGGGAGAAAAAGACUGCCGAACGAGGUAUAAGGGUAAAAAUCAUUGAAGUUGUAGCAUUAGGAAUAUAACCUUCAGCCUUGGGAGACUCCAGAUGCUAAAGGAAGCAAGUCUGCUUUUCUCUAGUGCCACGGGCUAGGACAGACUGCUUUUGGUAAUGCAGCUGAUGAAGAUGAUGAGCUGAUGAUGGAGGAGACGGUGGUGACCAGCCAAAAGGUGAUCACUGGAGUGCGAACAAUUCCUUAUAUUUAGUUUAUUAUUUAACUGGCACACAAACCUGUUAAGUAGGAAACUGAGACUCGAAGAGGUUAAGUAAUACCUAGCAUUCAAUAAAUGGUAGAAUGUGGAUUCCAACUUCAGUCAUCUGUUUCCGAAGC